UACGGGGGGGCAAGCGUUGUUCGGAAUUACUGGGCGUAAAGGGCUCGUAGGCGGCCAACUAAGUCGGACGUGAAAUCCCCAGGCUCAACCUGGGAACUGCGUCCGAUACUGGAUGGCUUGAAUUCGGGAGAGGGAUGCAGAAUUCCAGGUGUAGCGGUGGAAUGCGCAGAUAUCAGGAGGAACACCGAUGGCGAAGGCAGGUCACUGGGCCGCAACUGACGCUGAGGAGCGAAAGCGUGGGGAGCAAACAGG
rnacentral:rRNA from 1 species